rnacentral:rRNA from 1 species
GAUGAACGCUGGCGGCGUGCCUAAUACAUGCAAGUCGAGCGAACAGAUAAGGAGCUUGCUCCUUUGAAGUUAGCGGCGGACGGGUGAGUAACACGUGGGUAACCUACCUAUAAGACUGGGAUAACUUCGGGAAACCGGAGCUAAUACCGGAUAACAUUUAGAACCGCGUGGUUCUAAAGUGAAAGAUGGUUUUGCUAUCACUUAUAGAUGGACCCGCGCCGUAUUAGCUAGUUGGUAAGGUAACGGCUUACCAAGGCGACGAUACGUAGCCGACCUGAGAGGGUGAUCGGCCACACUGGAACUGAGACACGGUCCAGACUCCUACGGGAGGCAGCAGUAGGGAAUCUUCCGCAAUGGGCGAAAGCCUGACGGAGCAACGCCGCGUGAGUGAUGAAGGGUUUCGGCUCGUAAAACUCUGUUAUUAGGGAAGAACAAAUGUGUAAGUAACUGUGCACAUCUUGACGGUACCUAAUCAGAAAGCCACGGCUAACUACGUG